ACCAUUCAAUUAUGGGUGUUAGUUUUGUCCUUGUAUGCAUGCACCCCUUUUUUGUUUCAGUGACGAGCAUCAGAGCGCCCCAUCCCAAUAUCUUUCUCGGCUUCUGGGGCUCACUCACAAGCAUGACUUGUAUGGGCCCACCACCAGCUGGGGUGGUUUCCACAUGGAAUGACACAAAAACUCCAUCCCCUUUAGCUUUUCAAAGAAACACCUUCAUAUUGACCCAAUCGAAUCGAGGCUUAAUAUCGCGCACUAUAAGAGCGGUUUAGGUUUGGACUUUGAGAGGCCAAAAUCUUAUCAUUUCCAAGUGGAUAGCAUUUAUUAGUCAAAGUGAGAUGGUCAUCUAUGUGCUGUGAGCAUCUUCGAGUAACCUGUAACAGUGCCAAGCCUUCAAUCUCGUCAUUUCUAUCCCUUUUGACUGAUAGAACAUAGUGUCUGCUUUGUUUCUUCCCUAUUGCCUCUACAGGUUGCAUUCACAACCCCCCUUUCCUUGCGCCACCUGCUUUUCUGGAACAGAAGAGAAAAUUGGAGGAUGAGAGGGAGAAAGAAAGGGGUGAAAACACCUGCAUGUUGACGACAUAUUUGAGCUUCUAUUCUGCAUCAAAAGUUUUAUCUGACAUCUUCUGUGGAAGUAAAUCUAUAUGGUAGGAAUCCUUCCAAUGAGAUUACUUGCUCAGCAAUGGUCAAAGCAUGGUCCUACAGAAUAUGGGCAGCAUAUCAGAACUGUCUCCAUUACUUAAUAGCAGCUGUUUCUUCAAUUCAACAUAAAGGAAUUUAGAGUCACGGGUAGAUCAAACGACUCACUCCCUCGACUAUUCCAACGCAUAAAACAAGCUUCCAACUUGCUCUUUUGCGUUGCUGUUGUUCUAUUGCAUGUCUUCUUCUCUUUGUUUUCCUCUCUCACAACAUAUUUUUUUUCUCGUGCAAACUGAUAGGCUCUGUGAUGUAGGUGGAGUCACCGAACCCAGCUGUCUUCAAGUGCUAUUUCUUUUUGGCAGUGGGGAAGGAGAAGACUGCAGCGAGCGAGACUCGAUUGGUGAUUUCUGCACAUAACAUGGAGAUGGUUUGUUCUUGAUUGCAAUAGGAUACCCCUCCUCACCAUUCUUCAGAUGAAAUGGAGGUGGCCUCCCAUCGGCAGAUUUAGGCUAGCAAAGGACAUCAAGAAGAGAUUUGGUUCUUCCAGCGCACAAAGAUGAAAGAUUGAUGUGGUCAAUGAGAAUGCAAGUGUUGGGAUACAAUCUGAUGAGUGCUAAUCUAUGAUGUGUUGGGCAAAAAAGACAAAACGGCUAAGAAGAAGCAUAACCCAGCAGCAUUUUGGCCUUACAAGUACUUGAAUCGAAGAUGAUAAGUGGAGACCAAACUUUUAGAUUAAAUGAUGGCGUGAAUAUGAGAGGUUGAGCUGUGUGUAUA